rnacentral:rRNA from 1 species
AAAACAUGGCUCCUUGUCUACCUAUAAAUAGGGAGUCUAGCCUGCUCAAUGAUGAUCUAACAAUCAUUAAAUAGCCGCAGUAACCUGACUGCGUGAAAGUAGCAUAAUCAUUUGCCUCUUAAUUGGUGGCUGGUAUGAAUGGUAUUAUGAGAGUAAAACUGUCUCCUUAUUAUUCUAUUGAAAUUACCUAUUAGGUGAAAAGGCCUAAAUAAAUUUAUAAGACAAGAAGACCCUGUCGAGCUUCACAAGCAAAUAAAUAACACUUAUUGUCUUGUUUGGUUGGGGCAACCGGGGGGUAAAAAAACUCCCUCCAAUUCCUACAUUCUUUAAGACAUGACCCAUAAUCUUAUGAGCAAUAGAAAAAGUACCGCAGGGAUAACAGCGUAAUUUUCUUUAUGAGUCCUAAUAAAAAGAAGGUUUGCGACCUCGAUGUUGGAUUAAGGUAUCCUGAAGGUGCAGAAGCUUUCAAGGGUUGGUUUGUUCAACCAUUAAA